CGGCACGCGCACCACCCCCCCCACCCUCACGAAGCGCCUCAGGGAGGGCCGUGAUGGAGAGGAGGAGUCAGUGUGUGCGCAUGGUGCGGGCUGUUCAAACGUGGAGAAACCAUAAGCCACCCAUUCACGUGUCUACACAGCGAGGAGGCAUCGGCCUGAUGAAUUUUAACGUCCGAGAAGAACAUGGACUGCAUGUGAAGGCAGGGAACCUGCUCUGUUGUCUUCAUCAUUGACCUCUGAUAUCACUUGGAGUAAGACAACCAACGAUAGCAGUGAUCUGUCUCUGGAGUGGCAAGAAAGCUGCCUUUUCCAGCAUGAGAUUAUUCACUCGACGAUGUCACGACUCCCAAGUCUGAUGUCAUGGUUGUUUCCACAGCAACCAAAUUGAAUCAAGGUCGGUUUUGAAACCAGGAAUUAAAAACCAGGAGGAACUCACACAGAAUGGCAACACAACACAGGAGUGCCAUGAAGCAAGCCAUACCCUGCACAUGAUCCAAGAUCUCAACACGCCCAGCUGGUACAGUGCUAGCAUAGCUCAGCGAGGAAUAGCACAGCAUUGGAAACUCAGCACCUUGGCAUUGCACUGCUUUCUGAAUCCUGAUUAAAGGACACAAAAACGUGGUGGCACUGCAGGACUACUCCCGCUGGGGAUUAGGGUAGGGUUGCAGGGAGUGUCUCCUCCCACUGCAGCCCCUGUUUCCAUGCAGCCUCAGGGCACCUGGUGCAACCUCUGCCCACCUACAGGUGCCCAGCAGAGCUGCAGCUCCCCUUGGCCUGUGCAAUAUUCAGUGCUCAGAGACUGUGCUGCUCCUUGCUGGAGGAAGCCUGUAUUGCUAAUGGGAGAGGACAGAAGGAUGCAAGAUGAGCUGCUGUGCCAAGACUGCAUCAUUCUUUUCAGCCUCAGAGGUUUCCCCUAGACCCUCCUGCACUCAUCUUCCUCACCUGCAGGAGAUGCAUGCCUUGCCUUUCACUUGCCACAUGCAUCCUGCUCACUGUGCUUCAGUUUCUGAUGAUGCUGAAUACUCUCUUGCCCAACCCAAAGCCCCAAACCACCCCACUGUCCCACCCCUGUGUGAUACACCCUUUUCAGCACCCCACUGCAAAUGCUGGAGCAAAAAGUCCUGCUCCCCUAGCCAGACUGGGGCGAUCCAUGGCACACAGAGCAGGCAGCCCUCCUCAUAUGAAGGCUGCUUGAAGGAGAGUAUUUUUGCUGUGUCAGCAUCUCUGCUUCUCUAUCCCCUGUGUUUGCUGAUUGCAUCCUUGAAGCGUCACUGUCACGUUAGGUUUUCAGCAUGGAGCUGAGCCCUGAGCUCGGAGGGACAUGGAAAUCUGGGGAGGUCUUCUUCAGCAGAGUGCGAGAGGGGACAAAAAAAAAAGAGAAAGAGAAGGAACAACAUCUGCCUCCUCCUCCUGCCUUCUCCUUCCAUUCAACAGCAAGGCUCUUGCUCGAUUGGUAUGUGAUUGCUGAUGCUGUGAGAAGUGCUUGGGAGCCACCAGGUCAGGAUAAAGAGUCAGCACUGCCUACUCUGGGGCAAGGUGGAGGAACUUGGCAGAACCCCAGGACCUGGCAGCACACUCCUGGCAGUGCAGGAACCGAUGCUCGCACCAAGGAUGUGCCAUUCUCCAAAUCACUGCUGCUCACAGAGCUGCUGAAGAUAAACUUGACCUGUGUUACUGUGUCCAUCCUUUGGGUAUGCUGGAGAAAUCACUCCAGCUCUGUUCAACACCUGGGGCUGCACGUGGACUUCUAAUU